rnacentral:misc_RNA from 1 species
CACGAAUCCUAUAGUCAAAGGUCCUGAGAUUAGCCAUGGAAACUGCCAACUUCGGGCAAACGCCUUCUUCAAAGCAACCUCAAUCGCCUGACAUACCCCAUGAAGGAGAAAGAAGCAUGUGAGUUCCCAUGUGGGCUUCUCGCGCCCAAGGUAGUAAAACACGAGCUCAUGCAUGAGACCCGACACAAUAAAUGUACCUAAGAUUGCCGGAAUUGGGCCCAGUUUCUGUCCAUAAGACAAGUGGCAAGAUUGCGGGUGGGUUCGUAUAUGGUGGGUCGCAGAAUACCUGAAACCACUAGGUUCCAUCUUCUGCCCCAGAAGUCUUGUAAGGAGGAGGAGAGGUAUGGCUCAUUGAACUGUGGCUCCAGCUCCAGCCCUAGCAAGACCACGGCCAAGGUUCCCAUUAAGACUAGAACUAGUUCAAG